rnacentral:rRNA from 1 species
UACGUAGGGGGCGAGCGUUGUCCGGAAUCAUUGGGCGUAAAGCGCGUGUAGGCGGCUCGGUAAGUCUGGUGUGAAAUCCAGGGGCUCAACCCCUGGCGGUCACUGGAUACUGUCGGGCUAGAGUCCGGAAGAGGAGAGUGGAAUUCCUGGUGUAGCGGUGGAAUGCGCAGAUAUCAAGAGGAACACCUGCGGCGAAGGCGGGUUGCUGGGCCGACACUGACGCUGAGGCGCGAAAGCCAGGGGAGCGAACGGG